GGGGGUGAGUGGGGAUGGGGUCACUGAAGGGGUGUGGGGGGGCCCUCAGGCCUUCCCCUCCCCCCCCUCUUCCUCCCCACUCUCUUUGGGGAUUUCCUCAUAGAGUGCUUCAGAGUCGGCCCCCCCCGGCUGGCCGUGCGCCCCCCCUGCCCCCACCCUCAGCUGCCGCUUUGGCGUUGGGGACCCACAGCCCCGAAUCGAUGCAGCGCUGCAUGUGGUAUUUGGCCUCAGUGGGGUCCAUUCGGCUGAUGGUGUCCUGCAGCAUCUGCACGUCUUUGGCGUCAAAGCAUUUCUGCAGCUCGGGUGGGAGGGACUCGUAGACGUCGACGGGGUCGAGGCCGCCGGGCCCCAGGCGCUUCUGCCGCUCCUCCUCCUCGUACUCCCGCAUGGCCCUCUCGAUGCGCGCCUUGGCCCGGCCGCGCACGCGCUCCUUGAAGGCCUCCAACUCAUCGUUGAAGCCCUCCAUGUACUGCUGGUCGGCGGUCUUGAUUUUGGUGAAGAACUGACGGAAGCACGCGCGGGGAUCCACCUUGAGGCUCUUGGCCAACUCCAGGAUGAACUGCAUGACGAUGGUCUGGUGGGCGACCUGCUCCAUCAGAGCCUGCUUCU
rnacentral:lncRNA from 1 species